rnacentral:rRNA from 1 species
UACGUAGGUGGCAAGCGUUGUCCGGAUUUACUGGGCGUAAAGAGCGCGCAGGCGGCCAAGUCAGUCGAAUGUGAAAGCCCCCCGGCUUAACUGGGGAGGGUCAUUCGAUACUGCUCGGCUCGAAGACAGGAGAGGGAAGCGGAAUUCCCGGUGUAGUGGUGAAAUGCGUAGAUAUCGGGAGGAACACCAGUGGCGAAGGCGGCUUUCUGGCCUGUUCUUGACGCUGAGGCGCGAAAGCUAGGGGAGCAAACGGGG